AACAAACGCUGGCGGCGUGCCUAAUACAUGCAAGUCGAACGAGGAAAGCUUUCGGGUGAGUACUAGUGGCGCACGGGUGAGGAAUAUAUGGGUAAUCUGCCCUCGAGUUGGGGAUAACCAGUCGAAAGGCUGGCUAAUACCGAAUAAGACCACAGGAUCUGCGGAUCUAGGGGUUAAAGGUUUUUAGCUUGAGGAUGAGCCCAUACGGGAUUAGCUAGUUGGCGAGGUAAUGGCUCACCAAGGCUACGAUCCCUAACUGGUCUUAGAGGAUGAUCAGUCACACUGGAACUGAGACACGGUCCAGACUCCUACGGGAGGCAGCAGUAGGGAAUAUUGCACAAUGGGGGAAACCCUGAUGCAGCGACGCCGCGUGAGUGAUGAAGGCCUUCGGGUCGUAAAGCUCUGUCGUAUGGGACUAACACAAUGAAGGUACCAUGCAAGAAAGGAUCGGCUAACUUCGUGCCAGCCGCCGCGGUAA
rnacentral:rRNA from 1 species